AUUAACUUUUAAGUUUUUAAAAUCACUUUUGAAUCUUUCAAAAACAAUUUUAAAUAACCUUAGUUAGCUCAAAACCUCAAAGAAACCAACAAAGAACUCAUCAUUGAAAAAAAAAAAAAAUCAUGUAGAUUGAUGUAAUUAAUACUUUAAAAUCGUAUAGUUACCAUCCAUUUGGACUUCGCUUUGCACUUGGUACAGGGAAAUGACAUUCACAUUUUAACUAAUGCUGUGUGGGUUGUGGCCCGAUGGCAUAACAAGGAAUAUUUAUUGGGCCAGGUUAUAUUUUUAUUCAAUAAAAGCUCCUAAAAUAGAUAUUUUGAUUAUUAAAGUAAAAUAAAAUAUAACCUGGCAAUUGAACUAUAAACCAUUGCAAUUGAAUCAAAAAUGUCAAUAGUCUAACUCAACAAGAAUAUUAAGAAUUGAGCCUGGCCCCCAUUGUUUUCAAUCAGAGGCCCAGGCCACAUAAAAGACGCUUAAACUAGUUUGACAAUCAAAAGAAGGUUUCUGACCAAACUGGGAUGCAACAUGCUGCUAAGCCCAUUUCUGAUUUUGAAAAUCAAAGUCGAGGAAAACAUAUUUCUCAUUUACAUUUUCUUUCCAAUUCAUCUGUUCGCCGUUGAGAGGAAUGUUGAAUUAGGAGAUAUGGAAACCCAUAUUUCGCGGACUGGUUGCUGGCCCAAACAGUUAAGAGUGUCUGUCUAGUCUUCAUGUUUGGACGCCAGCCACUCGGGGAAGCCAUGAACAAAAUCUCGCAGUCAGCUUGCAGAGUAACUAUGACUCGGAAGGAGACAUGUGGCUCAAGAUGAGCUCUCUCUUUGGCAUGGCAUCUGAGCCCUCCAAGUGAUCUGUCUCUCUUUCAUCACUGAAGUGGUUGCACAACUCUCUGUGUCCAUUGGUCCAUUGCAAAUGAUGAGAUAGUAGGGUACGAAUUACGAUGCGUUUAUUAAUUAGUAAUUGAAAUUGGUUCAAAUCAGAAAUAAAAUGAACCUAAUUAUUAUUUAUAUAUUU
rnacentral:lncRNA from 1 species